AAAAAUGAAGCGCAUUUGCAGUUCUUGCAGGAGAUUAUUCUUUGGAUUUUUACUAACAUUCAAGUACAAGGGCCGCAACGUGGCCGCGAUAAUCAAAAGCGUGCCGCGCAUGAGCAACAGCACUUGGCUGUUGGAAGCUGAUUCCACUUCCCUCUUUACCGGAUUGUGUCACCUGCUAGAUCAAGUCAGGGAUUUAAAUGUUUUGGUCGAACUUCGUCAGUGGCGGGCGAUGUACAAUCCUUCCGAGGGAAUCGUGAUGCGCGUUAAAGUUUCUGACGCUACACGAGCUAACGGCAAUACCAUCCGUCUAAUGGUGAAGGUUAAAUAUUUGGCCAAGGAAAAUGGGAAAGCACCGGAAAGCCGUUAUUCAAACGGAGGUGGCCCCGAAGACCCUGAAGCACUGCAAAAAAAUGAUGAUAUGCCAUCGAAUAGUAAUGGAGCUAACGGCGCAAACUAAUGUCUCUAACAAUUAAAAAAA